UACCAGCACCCCGAGUGGUCGGGACGUUUAUUGGGCCUAAAGCAUCCGUAGCCGGUUCUACAAGUCUUCCGUUAAAUCCAACUGCUUAACAGGUGGGCUGCGGAAGAUACUAUGGAGCUAGGAGGCGGGAGAGGCAAGCGGUACUCGAUGGGUAGGGGUAAAAGUCCGUUGAUCCAUUGAAGACCACCAGUGGCGAAGGCAGCCCCCUGGGUCAAGAUUGACGCUCAUGCACGAAAGCGUGGGGAGCAAACAGGAUUGAGAA
rnacentral:rRNA from 1 species